AAUGCUCCUUGCGCGUCUGCUCGGUGCUCAGUUGUCCUCUUGACAGCGUUCGAGUUGUGUGGAUGCGACAUGCGCGUGGUGGCGUGUAACUAAAUCCCGGAGCUCAGCGAGGAUCUCAUCCUCAACACGACCCGGCUUGAGUGUGCCGCCGUCGGGCUUUAAAUACUCUCCAGACCCACUUUGUCACGAUCUGCACGGGACUUUUUUUUUUCCAAAUCAUCUCCCCACUCCAACCGUUCUCUUUUUAAACGGUGCUCGUGGGGCUUUACUUUUGAAGCCCCCCCCCCCGUUUCUCUCCUCGCAUAUGGAGCUAUUCGCCCUGACUUGGAUGUAUCGACCGGUGCAGGAGCGUCUACCCGCCACCGCCGCCUGUCCGCUGUGAGGCCACCCGAACAUGCAGCCGAGCUGAGUCCGUUUUUGUGUGACCCGAAGCUCAGUUUGUGGGGGCCUCCUUCUUUGAACCAGGCCAGCCGAGUUGAAAGGGAGCAGGGUGUCGAUCUGAAAUUUCCAGUCCUUCAUCCUUCUGCCACAAUGCGAAGAUGACCGGUGAUGCUUUGCAGAGCACCAACACCCGUCGUUGACUUUUCUCCAGCUUCCUGAUCCCGUCUCGGAAAACGCAAAUUUUAUUGGACAGGGGACACAAUGGCCUCUUCGCCGUGGAAGCGUCCGGCCUUUUCCUGCCUUCUACUUUUUCUCUACUGCUGUCACUGUUCACAAGGAUUCAGCCGCGCCACCCUGCCCUUCGGCCUGGUCCGGCGGGAGCUAUCAUGCGAGGGCUACGCCAUCGACCUGCGUUGCCCCGGCAGCGACGUCAUCAUGAUCGAGACGGCCAACUACGGGCGGACAGACGACAAGAUCUGCGACGCUGACCCGUUCCAGAUGGAGAACGUCAACUGCUACCUCCCCGACGCCUACAAGAUUAUAUCACAAAGGUGCAACAACCGUACGCAGUGUGUGGUUGUCACUGGCUCCGAUGUCUUUCCCGAUCCAUGCCCCGGCACCUACAAGUACUUAGAGGUCCAGUAUGAGUGUGUUCCCUAUAUCUUCAUUUGUCCCGGGACGCUGAAAGGCAUCGGCGACGCCACCUUCUUGUACGAGGCGGAGCAGCAAGCGGGGUCGUGGUGCAAAGACCCGCUGCAAGCCGGCGACAAGGUCUUCUUCAUGCCCUGGACGCCGUAUCGCACGGACACUCUCAUCGAGUACGCCUCGCUGGAGGACUUCCAAAACAACCGGCAGACCACCACGUAUAAAUUGCCCCACCGGGUGGACGGCACGGGUUUCGUGGCCUACGACGGCGCCAUCUUCUUCAACAAAGAGCGCACCCGAAAUAUCGUCAAGUUCGACCUGCGCACGCGGAUCAAAAGCGGCGAGGCCAUCGUCAACAACGCCAACUACCACGACACGUCGCCGUACCGCUGGGGCGGCAAGACCGAUAUCGACCUGGCGGUGGACGAGAGGGGCCUGUGGGUCAUCUACGCCACGGAGCAGAACAACGGGCGCAUUGUGGUGAGCCAGCUCAACCCGUACACGCUUCGCUUUGAGUCCACGUGGGACACGGCCUACGACAAGCGCUCGGCCUCCAACGCCUUCAUGGCGUGCGGCGUGCUCCACGUGGUGCGCUCCACCUACGAGGAGGGCGAAAACGACGGCGCAGCGAGCCAGAUCGACUACAUCUACAACACCAAGCUGAGCCAAGGCGAGUACACGGACAUCGGGUUCCCCAACCAGUACCAGUACAUCACGGCCGUGGAUUACAACCCCAGGGACAACCAGCUCUACGUGUGGAAUAACUUUUACAUCCUCCGCUACGAUCUCGACUUCACACCGCCGGAUCCCGUUGAAGUGGCACCAGUUGGCGUCUCUUUGCCGCCACCAAGAACAACCACCGUCAUGGCAGCCACAGCGGCGCCCACCGCAAAAAAACAAGGUGACCCCUCAGCGGGCGGAGGAGCGGACCCGAGGGACGGCAGGGAUCCGUUCGAGGACACCCGAGGGUUGUCGACGGCAGAGCCCAUCUUGCCGGAGCUGCCGCCCACGCCCAUACGCUUCUGCGAGGCCGUCCAGCAGCGGGCCAUCGACUGGCCCCAGACCCAUACGGGAUCCACCGUGGAGAGGCCCUGCCCUAAAGGCACCAGAGGCGUCGCCUCCUUCCUGUGCACAGUGGCAGGGAGCUGGUGCUCCAAGGGCCCGGAUCUCAGCAACUGCACUUCCCACUGGGUGACUCAAGUAGCACAAAAGAUCCGAAGCGGCGAGAACGCAGCCAACCUAGCCAAUGAGCUGGCAUUCAACACGCGUGGCCCCGUCUUCGCUGGUGAUGUCAGUUCCUCUGUGCGCCUCAUGGAGCAGCUGGUGGACAUCCUGGACGCUCAGCUGCAGGAGCUCAGGCCCAGCGAGAAGGACUCGGCAGGACGCAGCUUCAACAAGGCCAUCGUGGACACGGUGAACAAUCUCCUGAAGCCCGAGGCUCUGAAGUCGUGGCGCGACAUGAACAUCACAGAGCAGACGCACGUUGCCACUAUGAUGCUGGACACCCUGGAGGAAGGAGCCUUCGUCUUUGCCGAGAACCUCAUCGAGCCGUCCAUCGUCAAAGUGCCCGCCGAGAACAUCGUGAUGGAUGUGUACGUGGUGAGCACAGACGGCCAGGUGCAGGACUUCAAGUUCCCACAGACCAGCAGGGGCGGAUCCACUCUCCAGCUCUCCUCCAACACGGUCAAAGUCAACAGUAAAAAUGGUGUGGCCAAGCUGGUCUUUGUGCUGUACAAACACCUGGGUCAGUUCCUCAGCACGGAGAACGCCACGCUGCGGGGCCUCGGGGACGGCGGCGCGCAUAACCUCUCGCUCACGGUCAACUCCCACAUCCUCUCCGCCUCCAUCACCAAGGAGUCCAGCCGCGUGUUUGUGGCCGACCCCGUGAUCUUCACGCUGGAGCACCUGGACAAGGAGAACUACUACAAUCCCAACUGUUCCUUCUGGAAUUAUUCCGAGCGGAGCAUGAUGGGAUACUGGUCCACUCAGGGCUGCAAGUUGCUGGACACCAACAAGAGUCACACCACGUGCUCCUGCAACCACCUCACCAACUUUGCCAUCCUCAUGGCCCACCGGGGGAAUGUGAGCAAAGGGAGCGUCCACGAACUCCUCCUCACCGUCAUCACUCGGAUGGGCAUCGCCGUGUCGCUGGUGUGCCUGGCCAUCAGCCUGUACACCUUCUGCUUCUUCAAGGGCCUGCAGAGCGACCACAACACCAUCCACAAGAACCUCUGCCUCAACCUCUUUGUCGGCGAGCUCAUCUUCCUGGUGGGCAUCAACAUGACUGAACCCAAGCUGGUGUGCUCCAUCAUCGCCGGCGUCCUGCACUUUUGUUUCCUGGCGGCCUUCGCCUGGAUGUGUUUGGAGGGCGUGGAGCUGCACCUCAUGCUGGUGGAGGUGUUUGAGAGCGAGUUCUCACGCCGCAAGUACUACUACUUGGCCGGCUACCUUUUCCCGGCGGCCGUGGUGGGCUUCUCGGCGGCCGUCGACUACCGCAGAUACGGCACGCCGCGAGCGUGCUGGCUGCGGGUGGACAACCAUUUCCUCUCAAGCUUCGUCGGCCCAGUUACUUUCUUAAUCGUGGUCAACGUCCUCUUCCUGGUGGUGACCAUGUACAAGAUGGUGAAGAAAUCCACCUCCAUUCCACCCGAUUCCUCCAGGCUGGGGGGGAUCAGGUCCUGGGUGUUGGGAACGUUUGUCCUGCUUUGUCUUUUGGGCCUGACGUGGUCCUUUGGCCUGUUUUUCCUCAACGAGUCCUCAGUGGUGAUGGCGUACCUCUUCACCAUCUUCAACACCCUUCAAGGAAUGUUCAUCUUCAUCUUCCACUGCCUCCUGCAGAAGAAGGUCCGCAAAGAGUACAGCAAAUGUUUCCGUCAAUCUCGAUGCUGCGGCGCCCUGCCGCCCAAGGGCCCCCACAGCUCGGUAAAGACGGCCACGUCUCGGACCACGGCGCGCUACUCUUCCGCUACCCAGAGCCGGAUCAGGCGCAUGUGGAACGACACGGUGAGGAAGCAGUCGGAGUCCUCCUUCAUCUCGGGAGACAUAAACAGCACUUCCACGCUCAACCAGGGCAUGACGGGCAACUACCUCCUCACUAACCCUCUCCUCCGUACCCACGACAUUAACCCUUAUAACAACCUGCUGGCAGAGACGGUGGUGUGCAACACUCCUUCUCCACCGACCUUUCACUCUCCAGGACAGCAGUCUCUGAGCAACAGCAGGGACAUCAGCGCCAUGGACACCCUCCCCCUCAACGGCAACUUCAACAACAGCUACUCCCUGCGAGAGGACGACUAUGAAACCGUUGGCGUGCGCGCCCCCCCGCCCGACAUGAGGGGGCUCAACCUGGACGACGUCGCCUUUGAGAAGAUGAUCAUAUCCGAGAUCGUGCACAACAACCUGCGGCCUCGCAUCGUCCCGAGAGGCCGCGGCGACGUCCAGCGGAACACGACCCCGCCGCUGGCCCCGCAGACCAGGGCGGCCGUGGACCGAGGCGAAAGCGGCAGCGAGGACGACGCCAUCGAGGUGGAUCACGUCGAGGCGUCGUCCCCGCAGAGAGGAAUCGGGCGGGAAGGCCACGCACCCUUGGAGGUUCUCCUGCACCACCACCACAAGGAGGCCCUCGAGGCCCCGCUCUUGCCCCAGAGGACUCACUCCCUGCUCUACAAUGCCCAGAAGGCUCCAAGGCAGCUGGAGGGCCAGGUGGAGACCUCGGCGCCAGGUGAGGACGCGAGCAAUAACAACAGAGACUCGCUCUACACCAGCAUGCCCAACCUGAGGGACUCGCCCUCCGCUUCACCGUACCCGCCCGAGGAGGAGGACGAGGACGAGCUCUCCCCCUCCACCCGGAGCGACGGCGAGGACGCGUACCAUAAAAGCAUGCCCGAGCUCGCCGACGCACCCCCGCUGUCCUAUUACCACAUAAACCGAGCGCCCAGUGACGGCUUCGUCCCCCCGCCGCCCGCCACCCAAGAGGGGGACGGCGACGGACAGAUGCAGAUCAUCACAAGCCUCUGAGCUCAAACCCCGAGUGGGCAGGUCUUAUCAGUUGAUGUCAGGUGAGCCGCCGAGUCCGGCUCCGCACUCCACAAGCGCCCGGGAAGCUGAGACGUUGUCGGGGUGGGUAAAGGAAUGAGUCGCUGACCUUUUUCUUGUUUGCACAUGGAACUCGUUGACACUCGAGAAGUUCUUCUGAGGCCUAAACGUGAACUGUGAACACCUCACUGACAGACUAUGGAGAUGCACAGACACCGAUUCGGCAAAUCUUGCAAGAUUGUUUUUUCAGUUACAGACCACACACUUAAAAAAAAAAAAAAAGUUUGCUCUUACUGUGUGCGGUGUGUGCCGAUAAUCACGACACAGGACACCACGCACAUCAAGCUUCUGCUCCACCACACGAUCUACAACCUGGUCCUCCAAGACAGAAACAGAUGGGGGGGAUGUUCAUGUUCUCAAGAAAGACCUGCGCUGGAAACUACGUCUGGCGAACCUGUUUUAUACAAAAUGUGACGUCUUGUUUGUUUUUAUUUGUGGAUGCUUCCUUGUUCCUCAGUCAGGGUAUUUCUCGGUUGGCUACAUUACGUUCCACGUCACAGUUCAAGGAGUCAUGACUCAGGAGUAGUUGGCUUUCAUAAACCAGGCUCUUUCUAGACCAGUGGUUCUUAACCUGGGUUCGAGCGAACCAUAGUCGGUCUCAGGGGUUCGGCGGAGCCUCCACUGCACACUGAUUUGCAGGAACCAAAGAAUCGAGCCAGAUGUGGUUGAGGAACUUCCCUGGAAAGUGUCGCGGCCCCUGCCAAGUUUGUGUCACCUUCAGCCAUGCCUUCAUGCACACCAGGAAAGAGUCUUCCGGGAUCCACUGCAGUUCCGUCGCCCACGACUUCACAACCGGUCCCCAAGAUGACCCCCUUGACGAUUUGGAAGACGGAGAAAUCAGACGGAGCAGGGUUGAGGGAGAAGGAAAGUUGCCGGUAUGGUGAUGCUCUUGUCGGCCAGGAACUGCCAGAUGCUCAGGGCAUUGUGAGCUGCCAUGAGUUGUUUUGCCACAAGUGACAAAUCUUCUCGCACACUGAACAAAGCAAACGCCUCAGCAUCUUUUUGUAGACGUGCUAAAAAAUGGAUCACCUGGCCCAUGGAGGGGCAUACGCAUGUAGUUUGGGUUUUAAAUAUAUCUUUUAUGACACUAGUCCAGGAACAUCUCUGACAUUGACUUGGUUUAAUGUAUUCCAAUCCACUGUCUAGCAUACAUAUUUCAUGGACAUGACAAGACAUGGUGACGGUGAAUAAAAAUAAUUACACAUUAGUUUAUAAGCAGGACAAAAGUAGAACCUGUGCAUGCAACUCUGAAAAUUUAUAGGACGCAACAAAUAAGCUUACACUUGUUAAAUAAAGUAUAAAAAUAAGAGAAGCACGUCACAUUUAUUGAACCACAGCUAAUGACAGCCAGUGACAAUGUCAGGGUAGUUAACAGAAAAAGAACAAACGGGCUUUGCAUCAGACAUUUUGCGACGGAGAUCUGCCGCCCUCUGGUGCAAAAGCGUAGAAUUACAACCCAUAGUCGUUGCUCAAAUUUGAGACCUACAGUCCUACCAUCCAUCCAAAAAUAUCAGUGAUGGCAAAGAGAAGUGUUGAUAACCAGAGAGUAGGGCUUAAAAUUGCAGGUGUCAUUUGUAUAGACACAAUUAUUUUAUUAGGCGGAUGCUCACCUCAAUACUCAAAUUAGUACAAUAUGGAGGGCAUUUUUAAAGCUGCACGCACAUUCUGUUAGUGUCAAAC